rnacentral:rRNA from 1 species
AAGGGAGCGCAGGUGGCGCUGUAAGUUGGGAGUGAAAGCCCGGGGCUCAACCCCGGGACUGCUCCCAAAACUAUGGUGCUUGAGUAUGGGAGAGGUAGGCGGAAUUCCUAGUGUAGCGGUGAAAUGCUUAGAUAUUAGGAAGAACACCGGUGGCGAAGGCGGCCUACUGGACCAAAACUGACACUGANGCUCGAAAGCGUGGGUAGCAAACAGGAUUAGAUACCCUGGUAGUCCACGCUGUAAC